AAAAAGGGGAUUCCCCUAGUAGCGGCGAGCGAAGCGGGAAGAGCUCAAAUUUAUAAUCUGGCACCUUCGGUGUCCGAGUUGUAAUCUCUAGAAAUGUUUUCCGCGUUGGACCGCACACAAGUCUGUUGGAAUACAGCGGCAUAGUGGUGAGACCCCCGUAUAUGGUGCGGACGCCCAGCGCUUUGUGAUACAUUUUCGAAGAGUCGAGUUGUUUGGGAAUGCAGCUCAAAUUGGGUGGUAAAUUCCAUCUAAAGCUAAAUAUUGGCGAGAGACCGAUAGCGAACAAGUACCGUGAGGGAAAGAUGAAAAGCACUUUGGAAAGAGAGUUAACAGUACGUGAAAUUGUUGGAAGGGAAACGCUUGAAGUCAGACUUGCUUGCCGAGCAAUCGGUUUGCAGGCCAGCAUCAGUUUUUCGGGGUGGAUAAUGGUAGAGAGAAGGUAGCAGUUUCGGCUGUGUUAUAGCUCUCUACUGGAUACACCCUGGGGGACUGAGGAACGCAGUGUGCCUUUGGCGGGGGUUUCGACCUCUUCACACUUAGGAUGCUGGUGGAAUGGCUUUAAACGACCCGUCUAAAAAACGGGGACCAAAAAAAGAGGAAACCAUUUGCCAAUUUUGGGUUUGGAAGAGCAAAAGAGGUGCCUGGGCGUAUCUGGGGGGUAUCAGGUAGUGUCGGGGGUUGUCUGCAAUUAU
rnacentral:rRNA from 1 species